CCCCUUGUUAUAAUUUUGUCAUUUGCAUUGUUUCGACGUGCAUGUAUUUGCGACAUAUUACGAAUACAUGGAUAGUCUGAGCUAUGGGCUUCUGUUUUCUUUGCACCUUGUGACAUUGCGGUUAUAAUGGAGUUUAUGCGUCGUCGAAUGAUGUGGCCUCCCCUUGCCGUGGGGAAGUGCAGCAGGCGGGCAAAGAAAACAAGGGAGAAGACGUAAUUGUUCCUCCAGAAACUGCUUUUCGUUAUAAACAAAUAGUUUUUGCUUUUCGUCAUAACAAAAUAAAAACAUAUAAUAUUUC